rnacentral:rRNA from 1 species
CCACCGCUAUUGGAAUUCGAUUAAGACAUGCGAGUCGAGAGUCGCAAGGACUCGGCGGACCGCUCGUAACACGAGGAUAACUUGCCCUUGGGUGGGGGAUAACCUCGGGAAACUGAGAAUAAUACCCCAUAGAUCUAGAAAGCUGGAAGCUUUUAGAUCGAAAACUCCGGUGCCCAAGGAUUGGUCGCGGCGUAUCAGGUAGUAGUGGUGUAACGGACCCCUAGCCUAUGACGCGUAAGGGCCUUGAGAGAGGGUGCCCUGAGAUGGACUCUGAGCAUGAGUCCAGGCCCUACGGGGGCCAGCAGGCGCGAUG